AAUGCCAGCGUGAGGUAGGCGGGCGUCCCGAUGGCCUAGAAGGGUUCCCGAAAGGGAGCCUGGAGCCGUCGGGAAUGAAGAUCCCCGCGGUAGUAAGAAUCAGACGGGUGAGAAUCCCGUCGGCCGAAGGGGGAAAGGUUUCCCAGGCAAUGAAGAUCAGCCUGGGGUUAGUCGAUCCUAAUCCAGGCUCCGAGAGGAGUCUGGAGAAAGGGAAAGGGGUUAAUAUUCCCCUACCGCUCCGAUAGAUGCGGUAACGCAACACUCUUUCCCGACCCGGAGGGCUAGGCAUACACGGGGGUGGGGUAAAACCCACUUACCGUGCCAAGGGGGAUAGGACCGGGGAGUGCCGUCAUGGCGAGAACCGGUCUAAACCCUGAUGGGCCCGAAAGGGUUAUGCCGAGGCCUUCCGGCAAUGAAAAGGGAAAGGGUGCGAUUCGGGGCGAUCGUACCGAAAUCCAGCAUAGGUCCCCUGGGUGAGAAGCCUAAGGCCGUGGGGGUCAAGCCGGUCCAGGGAACUUGGCAAAUUGGUCCCGUAACUUCGGGAGAAGGGAUGCCUGCGGUGUAGACCGCAGGUCGCAGUGACAAGGGCGGGCGGACUGUUUACCAAAAACAUAGCUCCCAGCAAGCCCGAAAGGGUUUGUACUGGGGGUGACGUCUGCUCAGCACCGGUAUCUGAAUCCCCCGUUCAAGGGGGGUAAGGACCGGUAAACGGCGGGGGUAACUCUGACCCUCUUAAGGUAGCGUAAUGCCUUGCCAGUUAAAUGCUGGCUCUGCGAACGACGUAACUAGCCCGUCACUGUCCCGGGCCGGCGCCCCCUGAAAAGCUAUCCUGGUGAGAAGGCCAGGGACUUCCGAUGGGUAAGAAGGACCCCGUGAAGCUUAACCGCAGCCUGUUGUUGCUCUGAAGAACCUGGUGUGUAGGGUAGCGGGGAGCGAUGAAUUCCUGCCGCUAGGUAGGAAGGAUGCGACGAUGAAACACCCGCCUCCAGGUUCUUCAGGGCUAACCCGAAAGGGGACAGCGGCAGGUGGGCGGUUUGGCUGGGGCGGCACCUUGCCGAAAAGAUAUCGGCAGGGUCCAUAAGGUCAGCUCAGGCGGGUCAGAAAUCCGCCGUAGAGGACAAGGCCAAAAGCUGGCCUGACUGUGCCCUGACCAUCAAGGGGCACAGGGGGGAAACCCGGGCCUAGCGAACCCCGUACUCUCACUAGUGGGGGUACGGGCUGGCGGAAAAGCUACUCCGGGGGUAACAGCGCCGUCGCGGGCGAGAGCCCCCAUUGACCCCGCGGUUUGCGACAUCGAUGUCGUCUCUCCCCAUCCUGGUGGUGCAGAAGCCGCCAAGGGUGGGGGUGUCCACCCAUUAAAGGGGAUCGUGAGAUGGGUUCAGAACGCCGCGAGGCAGUUCGGCUAUAACUGUCGGAAGUGCUGGCUGCCUGAGGGGAAGGUCCGCCUAGUACGAAAGGAACGGCGGGCCGGGGCCUCUGGUGUACGGGCUGUCCGAGAAGGGCAUGCCCGGUAGCUACGCCCCAGGGGAUAAGCCCUGAAAGCAUCUAAGGGCGAAGCCCCCCUCAAAAAUAGGCAGCCGUUAAGGGGUCGGAUAAAAGAUCCGACUCAGAGCGGCGGUGUAAGCUCCGAAAAGGAGUUCAGCCGACCGCUUGAAGUUCCCGUGAGACUAUAUA
rnacentral:rRNA from 1 species